AACGCGAAGAACCUUACCUGGCCUUGACAUGUCCGGAAUCCUGCUGAGAGGUGGGAGUGCUCGAAAGAGAACCGGCGCACAGGUGCUGCAUGGCUGUCGUCAGCUCGUGUCGUGAGAUGUUGGGUUGAGUCCCGCAACGAGCGCAACCCUUGUCCUUAGUUGCUACGCAAGAGCACUCUAAGGAGACUGUCGGUGACAAACCGGAGGAAGGUGGGGAUGACGUCAAGUCCUCAUGGCCCUUAUGGGUAGGGCUUCACACGUCAUACAAUGGUCGGUACAGAGGGUUGCCAAGCCGCGAGGUGGAGCCAAUCCCAGAAAGCCGAUCGUAGUCCGGAUUGGAGUCUGCAACUCGACUUCGUGAAGUCGGAAUCGCUAGUAAUCGCGGAUCAGCUAUGCCGCGGUGAAUACGUUCCCGGGUCUUGUACACACCGU
rnacentral:rRNA from 1 species